rnacentral:lncRNA from 1 species
CCAGUGUGAGUAGAUAAAUAGGUACUGCUGUGGUGGGAAAGUCAAUGGCAUUUCUGUGUGCUCUGGUUUUCGUUACGGUGUUCUGUUGCACCAGAAGCAGUUUAGUCAUGCUGACCACAUGACCUGGAAAGCUGUCUGUGGACAAACGCCGGCUCCCUCAGCCUGAAAGCAAGAAGAGCACCGCAACCCCAUAGUCACCUUUGAUUGCACUUAACUGUCCGGGGGUCCUUUACCUUUUUACCUUACUGAGAAAUAUUUUGUUUACAAGUAUUUCCCUUGUACAGGCAGAGAAUUUGUCUCAAAGUCAAGACCAGAAAUGUCCAGGGGGCGGGGGGAUGGUGUUAAGAAGCAAAGCAAAGGAGAUGUGGGAAGUGAAAGCAAGGACAAACAUUAAGGGCAAGUGUUAAGAAAGAAACCCAGUUGCCACAGAGAACAUUUGCAAUUCUAAGCACGGGCCCUUGGGCCCUUGUUGAUGUUCUGUAAUGAGUGAGUAAGAAUGACGCAGGCAGCUAAAAGUGGAGGACGGGGUUCUUCGCUCUAUUAGAAAGGCCAAAUGCUGCCUUCAUUUCAGGUUGCUCAACUUCAUUACAUUCAGAGCAGGUUGCACAUGUAUGUGAUGGCAGACUUUGGCCUCCAUCCAGGAGACAUUGAUUACACGGUCACCAGAGCUAAUCACAAUCAAUGGUGCCAAGAAAUUAGGUCAUCCUAGUCCAAAACCCAGUAGUAUGUGUACUGCAGUAUGAUAACAGGGACACCAGCAAAAUGAAUCUGAAAAAGGCAAACAUUAGCCCAGUGCUUUGAACUCAGGAGGCAGGUGGCAAGACACACAAAGGAAGGAGUCUGUGACCAGGACUCUACAAUUCCAUCCCCUUCAGAUUCAAUAGGACUUACUUCUACAUAGACAUGGAUAGGUUUGUGUUCACAGCUCCUGCGCAAGAGUUAACCUUGGCUUCUGCUUAUCCAGAAAAACAGCAGCUUCAGUUGUUGCAGAAGAAGAAAUGAACUUCUUGAAGCUAUUUAAACUCAUUUCACUUAUGGAGCCUUGCUUUUCAUGUUUGGUUAAAGCCUGCCAUAUGAAGGAAUUCGCUGGACAUCCCAUGGUGGUCUGGGGCUAUGGGUGUCCUAUGCCAUUGGAAAACUGCCUGAACAUUGCCUCCUAAAAUUGACUCUUGUUUACAUUUGCCAAAAUGUUUUCAUUAUGUCUCCUAGUGUAGCCACUGUUUCAAGAGGUGUGAAUCCAUGUUUAUGGCCAGCUGUGUACCUGAGGGAGCAGUUUUGAAAAAGAUCUCUACAGUAGCAACCUCCCCAAACCUUGCUUCCACAAUUCCACAAAGGGCAAUCUAAGGGACUGUGCCAGAAACCAUGCCUGAACUGGGGGACUCUGGGAACUCUGGCCAUCAGUCAAGACAUUGGUGAGCCUUCACAACAAUCAGGCAUAAUGGAAGAUAUAUUGGGUAAAAACUAGUCCAGUUGACAUUAGUGUGGGAGGUUUCUCAUCUUGGUUUUUAUCAGGCUUUUGACCGAAAUCCUGUGCUUCCUUUUUCAUUAAACUUAUAAACAAUCUUCCCUAGUAAAGGGGUUAAUUUUAAGCUCAUUCAUCUUACACAGACGUGAAAUAUUUUCUCCAGCACAUAAAUUACAAAUUUUAAUAAACCAGGACUUUGAUUGCUCUAUGUGGUUUGACCUGCAUUGUAAUCUAGGAGAGAUGACUUGACACGGUUCCAAAAGUCAGUUUCUGUUUUGCAUGUUAGAAGAUCUAAAAAUUUGGGCAUGUACAGGUUUUCAUGGCCUAUGAGCAAACAAUAUUGUUGCUCAAAAGUUAUUUGACCGGCUCAUGAAAAUAAUUGCUUUUGCCGGAAAGUGAUCAUUAUUUGCUUAGAAAAAAGUUCAAUUCAUUGUUAACAUGGAUUAUCUUUAAUUUAUGUUCAUAUACCCUACAAUCAUUUCCCCACUCAAAUUAAACUGGGUUUGUAAUUGGAAACAAGGCUUCAAUUUCACCCUACAGCCAUGAUCACCGAAUUUCUUUCAACUGAGAAUGCACGAUCCAAAAUCUGGAAAUGUUUCAAGGUCAAGUUCAGUUCCUUGGUGUUCCAAGUUACUAAAUCCAAGCUUCUGUGUAAUGCAAAAGCUUUGUGUAUAUUUUCUGCAAAUUCAAAAGAAUUUAGCAGAGAUUGUAUGGUUGUGAUAUAUACGAAUACAUGAAUCAGUGAUCAUGUUUUAUUUUUUUAUUAUAUUUAUACCCCACAUUUCCCCCCAAGACCUCACAACAACCCUAUGAGGUAAAAUAGGCUGAAUAGUCCCAGGUCACCUGGUAAGAUUAUUGAGUGAGCAGGAAUUUGAACCUGGGUCUCCCUGGUGCCCUUGUCCAACACUCUAACCACUACACCACACUGGCUAACCAUUUUAUUUAAUAGCAUAUUUAUUUAGUAUUAUUUUAUAAUCUGCUACAUUCCUAUCCCGUCUCAAGAAGGUGCAUGUGGUUUUCCUUGCUUCCAUUUUAUCCUCACGACAACGCUGCAGCUAGGCUGGGAUAACAACUGGCCCAAGGUCACCCAAUGAGCUUCAUGAUUCAGUGGGGAUUUGACCCUGGGCCUCCAUAGUCCUAGUCUGAUGCCUUAAUCACUACACCACACUGGCAUAUGAUAUUCAAGCAUACUGACC